GACGAACGCUGGCGGCGUGCUUAACACAUGCAAGUCGAACGGAAAGGCCCUGCUUUUGUGGGGUGCUCGAGUGGCGAACGGGUGAGUAACACGUGAGUAACCUGCCCUUGACUUUGGGAUAACUUCAGGAAACUGGGGCUAAUACCGGAUAGGAGCUCCUGCUGCAUGGCGGGGGUUGGAAAAUUUCGGCGGUUGGGGAUGGACUCGCGGCUUAUCAGCUUGUUGGUGGGGUAGUGGCUUACCAAGGCUUUGACGGGUAGCCGGCCUGAGAGGGUGACCGGCCACAUUGGGUCUGAGAUACGGCCCAGACUCCUACGGGAGGCAGCAGUGGGGAAUAUUGCACAAUGGGCGGAAGCCUGAUGCAGCAACGCCGCGUGCGGGAUGACGGCCUUCGGGUUGUAAACCGCUUUCGCCUGUGACGAAGCGUGAGUGACGGUAAUGGGUAAAGAAGCACCGGCUAACUACGUG
rnacentral:rRNA from 1 species